rnacentral:rRNA from 1 species
UAAUCAGCGGGGAAAGAAGACCUUGUUGAGCUUGACUCUAGUCUGACUUUGUGAAUUGUCUGGAAUGAUGUAGCCUAGGUGGGAGUGCUUGCACGUCUUUGAAAGACCACUGCAUUCUAAGAUAAUUUACUUACUCCGUUGGAUAGUAUGCACGUAAUGUGCUUUUCUAGUUCUAAGAUUGCGUAGCUUUUGAAUUAGGCGGAAGACAUAGUCAGGUGGGG